CACACAUCUAAUCUGUGGGCAGUUUGGAAUUUUCCAUCUUAUCGAAGGCGGGGCAAUAAAUUACCGAAAAUAACAAAAGCCACGAGCGUCGCAGGCAGGAGGGGUCCAGAUGCACGGGCACAGGCACGGGAACGGUAACCAAAUGGCACCGGAACCGGGCGCACACAUCCAGCCGAAAAGGGGAGAGGUGGUCGUCUGGAAAGGGGGCGUGUGGUGGCCACCGCUUUUUCAAAUUUCUGUCUGUAUAUAUUUGUGUGCGCGCCAGAAAGUGACAGCUAUACGCACACGCACACCAAUGCACGGUUACCGUACACCGACACGCUAGAACACACGCACACACAAGUAGACAGAGGCACAACAAGAACAGAGAACUUUUUUAUUUUACGCCUCCUCGUUGUUUGUUUCUUUAACUUUUGUUUUUAUUUGCUAUACAUUAGAAGUUUCUGUUCGAUCCCAAUUGCGUUCUUUGAAACUAAAUUAAUUUUUUGCGUUUCGCGAUUUUGCUAUUCGCAAAGAUGCAGUGUGCCCAAAUUGGUGCCCAACAAUAAUGUGGCAGUUAAAAGAAAUCCCAAAGAGCUUAUCAGUUAUCGAUUUAUAAGAAAGAACUAUCGCUUGAACAAAAUUGAAUAAAUAUUAUUUAAAAUA